AAUUGUAUAGGUAUGAAUAGACCUGGCAAUUAUCGACACGACCCGUUAACACGACACGAAACCGGACACGAAAAUAACGGGUUAGUGUUUAGUCUUAACAUGUCCCGGGUUGUUAACGGGUUGA